ACCAGGUACGUCUGUAUGUUUUGGCAGUUGCGUUUUCCUUGGCUUUUGGUGCAUUAUUCAGCAAAACAUGGCGAGUACACAAGAUAUUCACCGCCAAAAUUGCUAUAAAGAAGAAAGUAAGAAGAAAUAAUGAAUAAUUGUCAUUGCAUAUUUUUAUGUUUUUUGUACCUCCGUUGGAUUAUUGUAAACACAGACGCGAAUAUUGCGGGUAACCUGGCUUUGGAAAAAAGUCGAUAUACCCUGGUGAGAAUUAAUGAUUCAAAACCUAAGAUGGCUUGAAGAUUGACGGUAAAUUUUCGAAGACCAUUUGAUUGACCAUCUUCUUAAAAACUUUGUGUCCAUGACAAAAUUUAUCAUGCAGUGAAAAAAUGCAUGUCUGACUGAAUGAAAGCAUGUUUAACUUAAACUGUCGUUUAAAGUUUUCUUUAAUGUUUGAGGGGGGAUAAGUUCAUUGUCCCAGUAUCCAUAUGUUUGCGCAUAUUUUUCGAAGUGUAACUUUAUUAAUAUAUCCUGAGCUCUUGAAACUAAAAACUUAGCUCUGGUCUUUUCAUAUGUAUAUAUGUCACAGGAAUAAUUGUUUUUUUGCGCAUUCACGUUGAAAAGAACUGCAUUUCGAGCUUGACACUAUAUCCAUCGGAGUCAGUUCAUCUCAUUUGCCUAUCUUUAGUAUCGACGGAGAGUAAUUAUUAAUACUGGAUAAUUAUUUUGAGUUUGAAAAAAUUGGGUUACGGCCCUCAAAAAGACAUAGCUUAUCUGCUCUAAAUAAGUUCUCCAUCGCAUCCUUCUCCUUUCUGGUGAUAUUGACCUGCAUUGUUAGUGCUACACAAAUACAAUUUUAAAAAUGACGCGAACAAAGAGAUGACGACAUUUUAAUUAAAGAGAGACGUGUAUAUUAAACAAAUGUAUUAUUAGCACUGUGUAGGAUCUAGUCAUAGCCGUACGUGCCUAAUCUUGUUUGGUUGAGCACUGUGUAGGGGGGGGGGGGGGGNNNNNNNNNNNNNNNNNNNNUUUUCGGAUAUACCGAAAAAAAAAUUUGCCGGGCAUACCAAAAACUUAUCUGCAAACAUCAGAAAAUUUGGCCGGACAUAUCAAAAAAAUUUCCCUAACAUCACGUAACUUUCGCAAACAUACAAAUGUUUCUUGAAGAAAUUUCAAAACUUUUUCCCAACUUCUUGUGUUUUGCCCGAAUGUCGCAUUGAUUUUUGCCCGCCCGUAAAAAUUUGGAGGUGGGGAGGAUUUACCCCCCCCACCACCCCCUCCGACCUAUACGCCAUGGAUCCAGUCAGGAAAUAUUCAGCGGGUGAAAUGUAUUUAACUCGCUAAUUAUUCAUUUUAGCGAGCAAAGCACGCCACAACGCUCGUAUCAGGGGCGGAUCCAGUUCCUGAGCUGACUGAUGCAUACAUAAGACCUCGCAUUUGUAGGGGGGUCCGGGGGUAUCCUCCCCCGGGAAAUUUUGAAAUAUAGGACCUCGGAAUUGUGAUUUCCUGCGUUCUGAGUGAACUCUUAUGUUCCAAUUCAUACGUCAGAGUCACAAAAUUAUUUUCUGCAUUUUUGGAAAGCAAUGUAAAAAACUUGAACCUAUAUCGCAAAAACAACAUAAUUUCUCCAUAUAAUAAAAAAAUAUUUGCUUGUACAAGUGUAAUAGCAGCAGUGGAACACAAGUCUCUAUUCAAAAUAAGUCAUUACUGUGCUUCUUGUAGCCUUAACUUUCUAUUGAAUAACAUUUCGGCAAAAAAUCACGACAACGCAAAUACACACAUACGUGUAACAAAGGUGUAUACAGUGAGCCACUAGUUGCAUUGCUGGUCUCAGAAGGCAGUGUUAUUGUGUUGUUUUUAAACCACCUUCCCGUAAUAAUUUCCAAUGUUCCAUGAGUAAAAUCUUCUAUAGCAUUAGAAUGGUGCAUAAAGAUUAAAGGUAUUUUGUGCUUCAGUGGGUAAACUUAUUUAUAUACAACUCUGUCUUAUGCUGCUAAUCUUACUCUGUAUGGACAGUGUGGUUGGCAUCAGUUGGUCAAUUUCUUUCGUCCCUAGCUGUCUUUGACAUGAACUACAUGGUGAAUAGCCCACACUCUGAAUACUGAGAAUAUUGCCCUGUGACCAGGAAACCAGUAAACUAACACACUAGAAGCACUGGGUUUAAAAUUCUAUAAGUAUAACUAGGUACACACGACCGCAAAUUGUAAAUCAAUAGAGACUGUGUCUAAAUUGAUUUAAUGAACUAUCUUAGUUGGAAAUUGUUUGCCAAAUGAACCUACCAAACUGUAUAAUGAUAAACAAUAUCAUGACAUAUAUUAAUUGAAUCAUGUCUUUUAUCUGUCCCCUUUUGCCUGCCUUUCAACUAAUAUUAUUACAAUCCUCUUUUAUGACGUUGUCAAUGUAGAAAGACUGCACAGUAAUAUUGAUGAAUAUUUUCCCUAUGUUAUUAUAUAAAUGCGCAUUUUUGUCAAAUAUAUCCAUACACUUAUCAAUGGUAAUCCUCAGAGUGGCAUGCUGGCUAUCCAAAACAUAGUAUUGGGACAAUUAGCACUACAAAUAUAUAAUUUAAUUAAAUAUAUUUUCCAAACUAUCUCACUUUUGUGAGGAAAUAUCAUAAUUAUAACCAAUAUACACCAGUUACAGUUAUAUACAGUAUUUAUACCGUCCAUCAUUUUAACAUUCUAAGAUUAAAAUCUAUCAAGAGAAUGACAUAUACAGCUUAUAUCAAAUUAUAUUUGCACAGACAAAGCAUAUAUACUCAACUAUGGUAGGCUAACAAGCCCAGGUAAUCAUCUUUAUUUGCAAAAUAUCUAGUGUACACUGUACAUUAAUUGCCCAAUAACUCAGGCAAUGAAAAGCAAGACCCUUGUAAUAAGGCAUGCCUGCUCAUUUCCAUAUAAAAUGAAAAUGAAAUGUAAUAGGAGAUUCCACUGGAACUUGCAACUUGAACCAAUUACCUUUCAUGUAAACUCCCCUCUAGUCUUCUAACCAAUAUUGCAUCACUAUUAGAAAUCUUAUUAAUUAACCUGCAAUAUUAUUAUGCUCUGUAAUUACAUACAGAGCCUGAUGCAAGCCUUGAUUCACUCAGAGUUACAUUCUACACACACUAUUAUUAUAGUUUUAUUUUUAAUACCGGUAUCCAAUCAAAAUGUGCCAGGAGAAAUGUCAAUUUCACAUAAUUUAAGAACAAGUUAAAUAUAGUUACAAUCACUAAAUAUAUAAUUAUUUAAUUAUAUAUAGCAUUAACCAAAAUCAGUGGCGAAGCCAGCCCGACAAUUUGGUUAUGCUAUGCAAAUAUUUCCCUGUUCAUAUACCGUGAAAACAAUCAAUUAGUAUAGAAAUGAAUAAUGAUAAUUUAAAUUUGCAUAGCAUGACUAAUUAUCGGGCUGGCUUCGCCACUGACCAAAAUAUAAAAAAAAACAUUUAAUACAGGGAUUGGUUUACUGGGGGACGUGGGAGGUGUACACCCCCUAGCCCUGGCCAGAGGGGGUACAGCGGGUGCUACUUUUCAUGAUAAAGCAAACAAUUAUUAGAGGGAAAAUGAGAUACAGUAAUUUGAGUAAUAACAUGAUGAUAAGCGAACUGUGAACAACAAUUACAAUUCAAAUACAGUAGUCAAGCAAGACUUUGCAGUAGUGAAGCAAGUUGAUUGGCGGGCGUCACACAUGACCGACACAACUUAGCACCAGAGCUGGCAGAGCACCCCUCCUCCCAGAUCAUACUGGAUCCAUCCCUGAUUGAAUAUGGCAUGAAUACUCAUGCUAGAAAUAUCCAAUCACAGUUACAACCAUAAAGGCAGUUGUAGGACACAAAUGUUUAAUGACAUGUGUAUCAGGUCUUCAUUUUUCUUUGCCCGCCAGCUGUGAGAAAAAUGAAGGUCUGGGCACAGGUUAUAUUCCCUUGUAAACAGAGAUGAAAUUUGCUCAGUAAAGCAAGCUGUCAAGUUUGAUAUUGGGGCUGGUUUGCCUCCAGACAAGCAAACCUCUGUAAAGACUGUAAAAUGCCAAACUACCCCCCCCCCCGCUGGUAACAACAGUAUUUAAUAAAUAGACACAAACUUUAAUUAUUUUGUUAAUACAUACAAAUCUACAUUUAAUUUAACUGUGGAGCCCAUUUUCCACUUUAUACACUUCUUGAACUGAACAAUGUACUACAAUGUAAAAUAUAGAUAAAUUUCUCUUACUCAACUGUUUAGAGCCCUCAGUUCGAGUUUCACAUAGUGGGCAUCUCACAGUAUAAAUAUACUUCAAUUCAUAUUCAAUUCUUGUACUCAGUUGAAAGAUUAGAUUCAUUCCAAGCCUUGGUAUUAAUUAAUUCGACUGUAAAUUAUUUGUUCUCCGUCAAUUUCGAGGGAUAUUUCUUCGCAAAACCAUUUAUUUGUCUCAUUUGCAUAUAGUGUUUGCAUAUCCUUGCCGCCAUGACUUGAAUCAGCUUGAAUCGAAUGCCUCGUUACGUCACAGUAGAUUUUGAUUUUGCAAUUUGCAUCAGUGGACCGAUGCGAGCGCCCGCAAUCUGCAUGCGAUGCAUCGCUCAGCGGACAAAUCUACCGUGACGUAGGGCUCUAAAACAAUAGAUUUGAUGAUGUCACAGCAGAUUUCACGCGGAAAAGGACUCGGGACCGAUGCAUUCACUGAUGCAAAAUGGCUGAAAAUCGAUGCAAACAAAAUCUACCGUGACGUAGGUGAUGCAUUGGCUUUCUACUGUGACGUCCAAUGAUGCGGUAAAAAAUAACAUAUUUUGUCGCGAAAUUAGUAACGCUUAAGUGUCGCAAAAUAAGAAGUAAAUAACAGAAAAUAAACGUUUGGGAUCGCACGUUGCAUAUUGACUUAUUUUAACAAUUUCGACUGUUAUUGAGACUAUUUAAAUUGGAUUUCAUUCUAAAUAGUGUAUUCCUGACAUGGAGUCAAUUUUAAGCAAAGAUUUGCGGUUUGAUAGCUGGAGAGAUUCAAAUUAAAUAUAUUCCAUUACUGAGUGCUUGCCUAUUGACGACACCAUAAUAUGUCUAUAUAUUAUUUCAAGCAACAUGAUUUCUCAAUUUUGACCGAUGCAUUCGCAUCGUUGGCAUCGGUCUGGAUCCGCCUCUGGCUCAUAUAAUUGCUAUGACACACAAAUAAGAGCAUAAUUACGCCGUACAUGAUUAAAAGUAAUAAAAAAUUUUAUCCUAAUUUAUAGUUGAUGCGCGACUUCCACCUAAUCUUAUUUGUUUUGGUCUUGAUUAUGAUCGACGUUACCUUCAUCACAAUUUGGGUUCUCUGUGAUCCUUUAGAAAUGGAGGAGAUUGUUUUUGAUGAGCUG
rnacentral:lncRNA from 1 species